GACAGAGGUGCCGAGCGUUAGGCGGAAUCACUGGGCUUAAAGCGUGUGUAGGCGGCCCGUUAAGUGCCUCGUGAAAUCCCCCGGCUCAACCGGGGAACUGCCGGGCAUACUGGCGGGCUUGGGUCGCUCAGGGGCAGACGGAACAGGCGGUGGAGCGGUGAAAUGCGUAGAUAUCAGGAGGAAUACCGAUGGCGAAGGCAGCCCCCUGGGUUGAUACUGACGCUCAUGCACGAAAGCGUGGGGAGCAAACAGG
rnacentral:rRNA from 1 species